rnacentral:rRNA from 1 species
GGUCAAGCGAACAAGUGCAUGUGGUGGAUGCCUUGGCGAUCACAGGCGAUGAAGGACGCGGUAGCCUGCGAAAAGCUACGGGGAGCUGGCAAACGAGCUUUGAUCCGUAGAUGUCCGAAUGGGGAAACCCGGCCCUUUUGGGUCAUCCUGGACUGAAUACAUAGGUCCAGUGAAGCGAACGCGGUGAACUGAAACAUCUAAGUAACCGCAGGAAAAGAAAUCAACCGAGAUUCCCAAAGUAGUGGCGAGCGAAAUGGGAUGAGCCUUGCACUCUUUAUUUGUAUUGUUAGCCGAACGCUCUGGAAAGUGCGGCCAUAGCAGGUGAUAGCCCUGUAGGCGAAAACAGUAUGAAAGAACUAGGUGUGCGACAAGUAGGGCGGGACACGUGAAAUCCUGUCUGAAGAUGGGGGGACCAUCCUCCAAGGCUAAAUACUCGUGAUCGACCGAUAGUGAACCAGUACCGUGAGGGAAAGGCGAAAAGAACCCCGGGAGGGGAGUGAAAUAGAUCCUGAAACCGCAUGCAUACAAACAGUCGGAGCCUCGUAAGGGGUGACGGCGUACCUUUUGUAUAAUGGGUCAGCGACUUACGUUCAGUAGCAAGCUUAACCGUAUAGGGCAGGCGUAGCGAAAGCGAGUCCGAAUAGGGCGUUCAGUUGCUGGGCGUAGACCCGAAACCAGGUGAUCUAUCCAUGGCCAGGAUGAAGGUGCGGUAACACGUACUGGAGGUCCGAACCCACUAACGUUGAAAAGUUAGGGGAUGAGCUGUGGAUAGGGGUGAAAGGCUAAACAAACCUGGAAAUAGCUGGUUCUCUCCGAAAACUAUUUAGGUAGUGCCUCGUGUCUCACCUUCGGGGGUAGAGCACUGUCAUGGUUGGGGGGUCUAUUGCAGAUUACCCCGCCAUAGCAAACUCCGAAUACCGAAGAGUGCAAUCACGGGAGACAGACAUCGGGUGCUAACGUCCGGUGUCAAGAGGGAAACAACCCAGACCGCCAGCUAAGGUCCCCAAAUAUAGCUAAGUGGGAAACGAAGUGGGAAGGCUAAAACAGUCAGGAGGUUGGCUUAGAAGCAGCCACCCUUUAAAGAAAGCGUAAUAGCUCACUGAUCGAGUCGUCCUGCGCGGAAGAUGUAACGGGGCUAAGCUAUAUACCGAAGCUGCGGAUGCGUGCUUAGCACGCAUGGUAGGAGAGCGUUCCGUAAGCCUGCGAAGGUGCCUUGUAAAGGGUGCUGGAGGUAUCGGAAGUGCGAAUGCUGACAUGAGUAGCGAUAAAGGGGGUGAAAGGCCCCCUCGCCGUAAGCCCAAGGUUUCCUACGCAACGUUCAUCGGCGUAGGGUGAGUCGGCCCCUAAGGCGAGGCAGAAAUGCGUAGCUGAUGGGAAGCAGGUCAAUAUUCCUGCACCAUUGUUAGAUGCGAUGGGGGGACGGAUCGCGGAAGGUUGUCCGGGUGUUGGAAGUCCCGGUCGCUGCAUUGGAGAAGGCGCUUAGGCAAAUCCGGGCGCGUAAUUCAAGGGUGUGGCGCGAGCUCCUUAGGGAGCGAAGCAAUUGGAAGUGGUUCCAAGAAAAGCCUCUAAGCUUCAGUCUAACGAUGACCGUACCGCAAACCGACACAGGUGGGCGAGAUGAGUAUUCUAAGGCGCUUGAGAGAACUCGGGAGAAGGAACUCGGCAAAUUGGUACCGUAACUUCGGGAUAAGGUACGCCCUUGUAGCUUGACUGGCCUGCGCCAGGAGGGUGAAGGGGUUGCAAUAAACUGGUGGCUGCGACUGUUUAAUAAAAACACAGCACUCUGCAAACACGAAAGUGGACGUAUAGGGUGUGACGCCUGCCCGGUGCCGGAAGAUUAAAUGAUGGGGUGCAAGCUCUUGAUUGAAGUCCCGGUAAACGGCGGCCGUAACUAUAACGGUCCUAAGGUAGCGAAAUUCCUUGUCGGGUAAGUUCCGACCUGCACGAAUGGCGUAACGAUGGCCACACUGUCUCCUCCCGAGACUCAGCGAAGUUGAAGUGUUUGUGAUGAUGCAAUCUACCCGCGGCUAGACGGAAAGACCCCAUGAACCUUUACUGUAGCUUUGCAUUGGACUUUGAACCGAUCUGUGUAGGAUAGGUGGGAGGCUAUGAAACCGGAACGCUAGUUUCGGUGGAGCCGUCCUUGAAAUACCACCCUGGUUUGUUUGAGGUUCUAACCUUGGCCCGUGAUCCGGGUCGGGGACAGUGCAUGGUAGGCAGUUUGACUGGGGCGGUCUCCUCCCAAAGCGUAACGGAGGAGUACGAAGGUACGCUAGGUACGGUCGGAAAUCGUGCUGAUAGUGCAAUGGCAUAAGCGUGCUUAACUGCGAGACCGACAAGUCGAGCAGGUGCGAAAGCAGGUCAUAGUGAUCCGGUGGUUCUGUAUGGAAGGGCCAUCGCUCAACGGAUAAAAGGUACUCUGGGGAUAACAGGCUGAUACCGCCCAAGAGUUCAUAUCGACGGCGGUGUUUGGCACCUCGAUGUCGGCUCAUCUCAUCCUGGGGCUGUAGCCGGUCCCAAGGGUAUGGCUGUUCGCCAUUUAAAGAGGUACGUGAGCUGGGUUUAAAACGUCGUGAGACAGUUUGGUCCCUAUCUGCCGUGGGCGUUGGAUAUUUGAAGGGGGCUGCUCCUAGUACGAGAGGACCGGAGUGGACGAACCUCUGGUGUACCGGUUGUCACGCCAGUGGCAUCGCCGGGUAGCUAUGUUCGGAAGAGAUAACCGCUGAAAGCAUCUAAGCGGGAAACUCGCCUUAAGAUGAGAUAUCCCUGG